GAUGAACGCUGGCGGCGUGCCUAAUACAUGCCAGUCGAGCGAACAGAUGAGGAGCUUGCUCCUCUGACGUUAGCGGCGGACGGGUGAGUAACACGUGGAUAACCUACCUAUAAGACUGGGAUAACUUCGGGAAACCGGAGCUAAUACCGGAUAAUAUAUUGAACCGCAUGGUUCAAUAGUGAAAGACGGUUUUGUUGUCACUUAUAGAUGGAUCCGCGCCGCAUUAGCUAGUUGGUAAGGUAACGGCUUACCAAGGCAACGAUGCGUAGCCGACCUGAGAGGGUGAUCGGCCACACUGGAACUGAGACACGGUCCAGACUCCUACGGGAGGCAGCAGUAGGGAAUCUUCCGCAAUGGGCGAAAGCCUGACGGAGCAACGCCGCGUGAGUGAUGAAGGUCUUCGGAUCGUAAAACUCUGUUAUUGGGGAAGAACAAAUGUGUAAGUAACUAUGCACGUCUUGACGGUACCUAAUCAGAAAGCCACGGCUAACUACGUG
rnacentral:rRNA from 1 species